UACAGAGGUCUCAAGCGUUGUUCGGAUUCAUUGGGCGUAAAGGGUGCGUAGGCGGCGGGGUAAGUCAGGUGUGAAAUCUCGGGGCUCAACCCCGAAACUGCACUUGAUACUGCCUUGCUCGAGUACUGGAGAGGAGAUUGGAAUUUACGGUGUAGCAGUGAAAUGCGUAGAUAUCGUAAGGAAGACCAGUGGCGAAAGCGGCCUACUGGACCAUCACUGACGCUGAGGUGCGAAAGCUAGGGUAGCAAACGGG
rnacentral:rRNA from 1 species